UUCCCAGCAGCCGGGCAGGCACUUCUGGUUUGAUUCAUGCAUGUUUUAUUUAAGAUUUACCAUCUUGCUGAAGAUGAAAAUCUGAACUAGACACGGCCCCCACUUCCUUCCAACGCACAACAAGGGAUCCUACUUGCCCUGGUCCUUAGAGCAAAGCCUGUGUGUGAUGUGCAGCACCUCUGGGUGCCAGGAGCCAGGGCAUGUGGGGCAGUAAAUCUGACAGAUGAGAAGGUCUUACUGGAGAUGCGCCAUGGAUUUGUCACCCAGUGUCAGAAGGAUGUGUCAGCAGCCCUGCCUGGGCUCUGGGAAACCUGAACAUGGGAACCAGCAGCCAGGGAGGAGUCUCCUUGGAUGGGCCAGACAUCUGAGACCUGAACUGCCAGCAUCUCUACACAGAAAAAGCGAAGAAGAGUAAAUUUAGUAUCACAAACUAAUCCCAGAAAGACGCUGUGAGACUUAUUUGAGGAUUUAAAAUUCCCUGAAAUCCUAAGAUGAAAGGGAUUUUGAAAAUGCAAAUAGCAAAAAUAUUUUUUCCCUCAGUCAGAUUGAACUAAGCUAUUUAAAAGCCAAAUAACACAGGCAGGAAAUUUUCGUUUUGAAUUUGUUUGUGAAGCAACCAUUAAACGCUUUAGUUUUUUAAGCUCUAUGUUUUCUGAAGAAACAAUGGACCAUUUCUUUAUAGGUGCUGGUAAAAUCUGUUACAAUAGCUGUUAGUAAAACCAUUUAAUUACAUGGCACUUAAGAAUGUCUGAGACUGGUGAGAUUUUCCCAUUGGAG
rnacentral:lncRNA from 1 species